CAAGUCGAACGAAUCCCGGGGCUUCGGCCCCGGGGGAAGUGGCGAAAGGGGCAGUAAGGCGUGGGUAACCUACCCCGGGGACCGGGAUAGCCGUCCUAACGGACGGGUAAUACCGGGCGACGUGUCUGGGGGGCAUCUCCUGGACACCAAAGGAAUUUCGCCUCGGGAGGGGCUCACGUGGUAUUAGCUGGUUGGUGGGGUAACGGCCUACCAAGGCGAAGAUGCCUAGCGGGUGUGCGAGCACGACCCGCGCCACUGGCACUGGGACACUGGCCAGACUCCUACGGGAGGCUGCAGUCGAGGAUCUUCGGCAAUGGGCGCAAGCCUGACCGAGCGACGCCGCGUGUGCGAUGAAGGCCUUCGGGUUGUAAAGCACUGUCGAGGGGGAGGAAGGCCCUGAAAGGGGCUUGACCUAGCCCUGGAGGAAGCACGGGCUAAGUUCGUGCCAGCAGCCGCGGUAAGACGAACCGUGCGAACGUUGUUCGGAAUCACUGGGCUUAAAGGGCGCGUAGGCGGGCGUGUCAGUCGGCGGUGAAAGCCCACGGCUCAACCGUGGCAGUGCCGCCGCGACGGCGCGUCUGGAGGGAGGUAGGGGCACGCGGAACUUCCGGUGGAGCGGUGAAAUGCUUAGAGAUCGGAAGGAAG
rnacentral:rRNA from 1 species